CUGCUGCCUCCCGUAGGAGUCUGGGCCGUGUCUCAGUCCCAGUGUGGGGGCCUUCCUCUCAGAACCCUACGCAUCGUCGCCACGGUGGGCCGUCGACCCCGCCGUCCUAGCUAAUGCGCCGCAUGCCCAUCCGCCACCGGAUCGCUCCUUUGGCCACCGGAGGAUGCCCUCGGUGGCGUCACGGGGUAUUAGGCCGCGUUUCCGCGGGUUAUCCCCCUUGUGGCGGCCACGGUUGCAUACGUGUUACUCACCCGUGCGCCGGUCGCCGG
rnacentral:rRNA from 1 species